GAUGAACGCUAGCUACAGGCUUAACACAUGCAAGUCGAGGGGCAGCGGGGAGGAUGCUUGCAUUCUCCGCCGGCGACCGGCGCACGGGCGAGUAACGAGUAUCGAACCUGCCUCAUACCCGGGGACAGCCUUGCGAAUGUAAGAUUAAUACCCGGUGUUUUCGCGGUUCCGCAUGGUACUGCGAACAAAGGAUUGCCGGUAUGAGAUGGCGAUGCGUCCCAUUGGCUGGUUGGCGGGGUAACGGCCCACCAAGGCAUCGAUGGGUAGGGGUUCGGGGAGGAAGGUCCCCCACACUGGAACUGGGACACGGUCCAGACUCCUACGGGAGGCAGCAGUGAGGAAUAUUGGUCAAUGGGCGCAAGCCUGAACCAGCCAAGUAGCGUGCAGGAUGACGGCCCUCUGGGUUGUAAACUGCUUUUAGUUGGGAAUAAAGCGCGGGACGUGUCCCGCUUUGCAUGUACCAUCAGAAAAAGGACCGGCUAAUUCCGUGCCAGCAGCCGCCGUAA
rnacentral:rRNA from 1 species